rnacentral:rRNA from 1 species
UACGUAGGGGGGCUAGCGUUGUCCGGAUUUAUUGGGCGUAAAGAGCGUGUAGGCGGCCAUGUAGGUCCGGUGUGAAAACUCGAGGCUUAACCUCGAGAUGUCAUCGGAAACCAUUUGGCUAGAGUCCGGAAGAGGAGAGUGGAAUUCCUGGUGUAGCGGUGAAAUGCGCAGAUAUCAGGAAGAACACCAAUGGCGAAAGCAGCUCUCUGGGACGGUACUGACGCUGAGACGCGAAAAGCGUGGGGAGCAAACAGG